CAUAAAGCUAGUACUGAAUGGUGUGUUGUAUGUUCUGUUAGCCAGAGCAGCUACACAUGCUUAUGCAGGUAGCGCCUAUCCAAAAGUGGCUGAACGAAGGCGCAAUGAAAGGCUGAAGUCCAGCCCAAGUCUCCUGGCCGAGCCGUCUGGAACAGGGCUAGCAUUCAAGAUCUUCUGACGUCGUGGCAAGUGAUAAGUCCGAGGGCUGCCGUAGAG
rnacentral:lncRNA from 1 species